AUAUUUUUCAGUCACAAGAUCAAUCUCAUUUCCUCAAAUCCAAGAAUUAUAUAAUACUGGACUUUCCUAAGAAAUAAGCGCAUCAACCGAUUCUGGCUCUGCUGCAGAAUAUUGAAUCAAGCACAAUACUAGCCAUUGGAAGUUUCUUAUGUUCGCCUGACUUCUAUAGUUCAACGAACGAAACUGUAGGCUGCGUUUAAAAAUAUCUAUCUGCUUGAAAUUUGUCCUUGACCGAGAAGCAUUCCCUACCUCUCUGCCCCCCUGCAUCCUCUCGACCACCGCUGUCCUUUGUUCGGAACAAUUUUGCCAACUCACAGUGCUGGGUAGCAUUGUGCCACUGGAAAUCAUGACAUCUAAUUCGUCAACUCUGUAAGUUUUACGAAGUUCAGGUCUUCGACUUGUUGCGGUUUUUGAAAGUGGAGAGGGCAGCUAAGUUUUUGGGCCAAUCCAAACUGUUAUAGUUAGUCGUCGCCAAGAAUUGUGAAUUUUUUAAUCUACUAUUGAUGCAUCGUUACAACGUAUCACGUAAUAUCACAGUAAUCAUUGAUGGUGGGAAUAAGUUUGACGGCUACAAUAUCAUACGAUACAGAUGCCAGUAUGACAAUUGUAGAAUAUAACUGCUGUUCAUCGAAAACUGAUAGGUGAUUAGCCAACCAUGAGAACCUCUACGAAGUUCAAAUUUCCGUGCUAUCGCGGGCUUUGGAAAUGGCGGGAAGAGCUAGGUCUCUCGACCAAUCCGCUGACGGCUAGGCGACGCCAUGAUAGGGUGGGGUCAUUCUCCUUUUGUACGUCGCGGCAACUGGACGUGAGAUGGAAUUCAGAUUAUUAGUUGAUUCCAAGAAUCACUUAGAACGUAUUGAACGCACCAACGGUCGUAUUAGAGGACGAGCAGCAGUCACUGUGAUGAUUAAUCUCUGAUGACUGGAAUGGCCUGAUAGCGUAAAAUGUUCAAAGAAUGAACGGCAUAUUGACAAAUGGCCGACUUUACAGCUUUUCAUUGAAAGCUGGUAAUGCCUAAUGUAUUAUCAUACAAUAAACGUAAAAG